AAGUCGUAACAAGGUUUCCGUAGGUGAACCUGCGGAAGGAUCAUUAACACUCCAAAACUUCUUCAAGGACUCUGAAAAGGGUCCAUGAUGAAACCCUAUUAACCAUUAGCGAACCUAGGCCGGGUGACAGUUGGUCACCUAGCGACACUUUCGUCUUUUUUUUAAUUUUAUUUUAACCCAACACAUUUCUUUUUUUUCGUCUGACUGGAAGAUCUCGGUCUUCCGUUGCUCUCUCUCUUAACCCAGAGAGGCAAUGAAAACUACCAAAACAAAAAACAAAAAAACAACUCUUAGCAACGGAUAUCUUGGUUCUC
rnacentral:misc_RNA from 1 species